rnacentral:lncRNA from 1 species
CCGGAUUGGGGCAGAUUGACAUUACUGACUAUUCUGUAAAGCCUUCCAAGGUUCCCCUGCUGGGAAUCUUUUACCUGUAAUUCCUGGGAUGCUGUGGGUGAUGCCUCUUAUCUGAUUGGCUGGUUUGAACUUCAACUCUCAGGGCUGAGCCUCCCAAAGUUGGUCAUGGGGGACCUCUACGGAGGGAUGAGCUUUCUUUCUUAUUUUCUUAAUGUUUAUUUAUUUUUGACAGACACACACACACACACACACACACACACACACACACACAGAGAACGCGAGCAGGGGAGGGGCAGAAAGAGAGAGGGAGAUGCAGAAUCCGAAGCAGGCUCCAGGCUCUGAGCUGUCAGCCCAGAGCCUGACGCGGGGCUCGAACCCACGAACCGUGAAGUCGGGUGCUUAACAGAGCCACCCAGGUGCCCCAAUGUGAUGAGCUUUCAAGCUGGCUCCAGGUCAACACCACCUCCGGGAGCUGCUGUCUUGUCUGAGGAAACGCUCCUACGUUUGUGCCACUGUCUGCGGGUGGUCAGUCCUGUUCUCUGCGGCCUUAGGCUCACCUAACCUCAACCUCUCUUCACAGUCCUUACACACUCCAAACUCUCGAGGACACGUGUCACUCUAAAGGAUCUGCCACGUAUGGUUCCGUGGAGGCCAUCUAACCGGCUUGAGGGAUGCCCGACAAUGUGUACUGAUGAAGUUGGUUCGUGUGGCGGGACCCACAAAAUGAGUGCCCUCCGCCCCCUUCCCAGUGGCCUGGCCCACGUCACAAAUCUAAACCCAAGUCAGCCUGCGCCUUCGGGAAACACCUGUCAAGGAAACCUUGCAUACACCAAUCGAGAUCCUCUAAUUCAGCUUUGGCUAGCUUACCUGACUCUAGAAAAGAGGACCAUUAGCCUUAUUGGGAAGUCUCAGACCUCCUAGCCAAUCGUGCCUGUUUCCACGUUGCCUUUUCUAACGCUCUAUAUAAAACUCGCUCUGGCCAAAAUCCCUCAGGAAGAGUCUCCAACUGCUCCCCCAUCCCUGGACCACUUGCCUUUGAACAAAGGACAUCCAACCCGUUUUUAGUUUUAGUUUUGUCAUGUGACUGUACUAAAAGCAAGUUCCCAAAGUUAUGCCAGCAAAAAGUGUUAUGGAAGAUCGCCAGCUUACCAGAAACUUCCAACGACCAAUUACCAGGCCAGGAGAAACUGGACGCAGAGAGGAGCUAACCCAUCAAAAUGGUGGCCACCAUGUCUUUGUCCCAAAGCCCAGGGUGGGAGGUCAACCAUCAGAGCCACCAACUCUUAAUUCAUAUGAACUGAUGGUAAUUGUAUUUCUCAGACCACAGCAAAAGUGAAACAAUGGAUUAGAAGGGACCGGUUGAUAAGAGACAGGCUCUAUGUUCCUCCCGGAGGUUAGGAGACUAUAGAGGAACCGAAGAGACUACUGUAAUUCAUAGCUAUAAUGACAAACAUGAUUAAUCAAGAGGCAGUGAAAUGAUAGUUACUAUCGUCUAUUUAAGAGGAAGGGUGCCAAUGAAAU